UACGGAGGAUGCGAGCGUUAUCCGGAUUUAUUGGGUUUAAAGGGUGCGUAGGCGGUCCGUUAAGUCAGCGGUAAAAUUGCGGGGCUCAACCCCGUCGAGCCGUUGAAACUGUCAGACUUGAGUUGGCGAGAAGUACGCGGAAUGCGCGGUGUAGCGGUGAAAUGCGUAGAUAUCAGGAGGAACACCGGUGGCGAAGGCGGCCUGCUGGACUGCAACUGACGUUGAGGCCCGAAAGCGUGGGGAGCAAACAGG
rnacentral:rRNA from 1 species